rnacentral:rRNA from 1 species
GAUGAACGCUGGCGGCGUGCCUAAUACAUGCAAGUCGAGCGAACAGAUAAGGAGCUUGCUCCUUUGACGUUAGCGGCGGACGGGUGAGUAACACGUGGGUAACCUACCUAUAAGACUGGGAUAACUUCGGGAAACCGGAGCUAAUACCGGAUAACAUUUGGAACCGCAUGGUUCUAAAGUGAAAGAUGGUUUUGCUAUCACUUAUAGAUGGACCCGCGCCGUAUUAGCUAGUUGGUAAGGUAACGGCUUACCAAGGCGACGAUACGUAGCCGACCUGAGAGGGUGAUCGGCCACACUGGAACUGAGACACGGUCCAGACUCCUACGGGAGGCAGCAGUAGGGAAUCUUCCGCAAUGGGCGAAAGCCUGACGGAGCAACGCCGCGUGAGUGAUGAAGGGUUUCGGCUCGUAAAACUCUGUUAUUAGGGAAGAACAAACGUGUAAGUAACUGUGCACGUCUUGACGGUACCUAAUCAGAAAGCCACGGCUAACUACG